rnacentral:ncRNA from 1 species
ACCAUUGCACCGAUUGAUCUCCGGUGGCUCAACGAUGUUUGAUGACACAAGUAAAUAUGAUCAGCUAACUAUUGAGCAGAAAGCUGCAGACCGGAACGGAGAAAUCUCCGUGGGGACUGUGGUAGGAUUUCUAUGCCCAUUUUCAGCUGA